rnacentral:rRNA from 1 species
CCUACGGGUGGCUGCAGUGAGGAAUAUUGGUCAAUGGGCGGAAGCCUGAACCAGCCAAGUAGCGUGAGGGAUGACUGCCCUAUGGGUUGUAAACCUCUUUUAUAAGGGAAUAAAGGGAGUGUCCUGUUUUGCAUGUACCUUAUGAAUAAGGACCGGCUAAUUCCGUGCCAGCAGCCGCGGUAAUACGGAAGGUCCGGGCGUUAUCCGGAUUUAUUGGGUUUAAAGGGAGCGCAGGCGGUCUUAUAAGCGUGACGUGAAAUGCAGCGGCUCAACCGUAUGAUGUGCGUCGCGAACUGUGAGACUUGAGUGUAUUCGAUGUCAGCGGAAUUUGUGGUGUAGCGGUGAAAUGCUUAGAUAUCACGAAGAACUCCGAUUGCGAAGGCAGCUGACAAGGCUACAACUGACGCUAAAGCUCGAAAGUGCGGGUAUCGAACAGGAUUAGAUACCCUAGUAAUCAAUGACGUA